rnacentral:lncRNA from 1 species
ACAUGUCAAACAUAUAACAUCACAAUUUCCAAAUGCUGACUCAUAUAAAUAUAUCAUACCAAUUCAAUACACAUUCUUAAUUAAUUUCUUAUUGAAACAUUCAUUUACAUUGACUUAAAACUAUAAUUAUCUAUAUCCACAUCCUUCUUUUUAUAACAAAUUUCAUCAAUUCUUUAGUUUUUAUCAAACGUUUCAACCUUUUUCCAUCUUUGGCUACAUAUUCUAAGGUAUGGCACCAUUUUAUAUAUUUAUUAAACUGGUAAGUAAAAAUUCAAAUGAGUACUUACAAUUCUCUUGAGCUUAACAAAAUUAAACCAGUUAUUCCUUCAAUCUAAGGCUUUGUCUUUUCCUUUGCUAUUCAUGAAAACGUAAUAAAUAAUAUGCUCAAAAUAUCCAAAUCAUAAUUGUUGAGGGCAGAAACGUUCCUGGACCGCAACACCGAGAGCGACAAUUUUCAAGAGUGGGAGAUGCUGAUAGGGUGAGCGAGUGAACACGAAACAUUCCCAAGAUGAUCUGUGAGAUGAUGAUGAUGAUGUUUGAGAUGAUCUUAGUGAGAUGGUGGUUCCCCACGGAGUAAAAGACAAACAUUCGAGAUGAUCUUUAAGUUAUCUAGGUUGUUGCUAUGAA